UACGUAGGCAGCAAGCGUUGUUCGGAGUUACUGGGCGUAAAGGGUGUGUAGGCGGUUCUUUAAGUUUGCUGUGAAAUCUCCCGGCUUAACCGGGAGGGUGCGGUGAAUACUGAGGGACUAGAGUACGGGAGAGGAAAGUGGAAUUCCUGGUGUAGCGGUGAAAUGCGUAGAUAUCAGGAGGAACACCGGUGGUGUAGACGGCUCUCUGGACCGUAACUGACGCUGAGACACGAAAGCGUGGGUAGCAAACAGG
rnacentral:rRNA from 1 species